ACAGUGCCCCCACGGAGGAUGAUGGUACACGUCUUGGCCUUAGGGCAGCCAGUGAAGAAAUUGUACCUCUCGCUUCCAAUUUGGGUCUCUUCAAACAAUUGGCAGUGGCCCAGCACAUCUGGAAUCAGAGCAUUCACACUGGUCUGGAUUGAGCCUCCACAGGCCAUCAUUGUCCUCUUCAGAUCCUCCUCAGGUACUCGGCCAGCACAGAACAUGUCCCUAUCAGCAAACUACUGGGUAGCCACAUCCCCAAUGGGAGGUUUGUACAAGAUGACUUUGGCUCCAGACUGAUGGAUCUUCUCUAACUUGUCAUAAAGAAUGUUCCACUCAGCAUCAACAAUUGCAUGGUAAUCCUCCACCGUGUGGACUCUGAUUUCAGCAUUAUCUUUCUCCACUUUCAGCUCAAGCUCAACCUUUAAGAGGGCAAUCUUGGGGUUCUUAUAAUUCUUGGGCUGCAUUUCAAACCCGGCAUAAGGGAAAGUCUUCUUGAAUGCGACACCGGCCACCAACUGAAACUCCUCUAAAGCUCCACCAUGAACUUUCUUGAUACCAAUCAUUUUAAGCUGUAGCAACUCAUCAAGCAUCAUCACAGCAUCAACCACUAUCUUGGUGAAGAAGGUCUUCUGCUGAGAGAUCAACUUAGAGCUCAGGGCUGUCAUAGCACACUUUUCCAGCAUCUUCCUCUGUUCUACUUUAUCUUGUUUCUUCACAGUCACAGCAAUCUCUUUGAUUUUGUCAACAGCCAAAUGGGUGGUGGCUGUGCGGAAAGCUCGGAUGAUGAUCUGAGGGUGCAAACCUUCCUCCACGUAGGGCUUCACCUGCUUCAGAAACUCAGCAGUCAGCAGGGUCUCUGAGGUGGUGCCGUCACCAACCUCAGCAUGUUGGGAUUUGGCAAUGUGUGCUAAAGUCUUGGCUGCAGGAUGGACAACAUCAAGGAGUUCCAGAAUUAUGGCCCUAUCAUUAGAAAUUGUUGCUUUGCCUCGACCAUCCACAAUAAGCUUGUCCAUGCCACAGGGACCCAGUGUGAUUCUUACAGCCUCAGGAAUCACCUGGCAGGCACUGAUGUUACUCACAAGCUGAGAGAUGCCUUGGGAGCUAUCAGUCCCCUCUUUCAACAGGAUAACUGGUGUGGGCAUCAUCUUGGAAGCAGCUUCAGGCUG
rnacentral:lncRNA from 1 species